rnacentral:rRNA from 1 species
AUUGAACGCUGGCGGCAUGCCUUACACAUGCAAGUCGAACGGCAGCACGGGAGCAAUCCUGGUGGCGAGUGGCGAACGGGUGAGUAAUAUAUCGGAACGUGCCCAGUCGUGGGGGAUAACGUAGCGAAAGCUACGCUAAUACCGCAUACGAUCUAUGGAUGAAAGCGGGGGAUCGCAAGACCUCGCGCGAUUGGAGCGGCCGAUAUCAGAUUAGGUAGUUGGUGAGGUAAAGGCUCACCAAGCCGACGAUCUGUAGCUGGUCUGAGAGGACGACCAGCCACACUGGGACUGAGACACGGCCCAGACUCCUACGGGAGGCAGCAGUGGGGGAAUUUUUGGACAAUAGGGCGGCAAGACCUGAUCCAGCAAU